UGUAUAAAAUAAAUUCAUUGGCAUUGAAAAUAUCAUCCAUUAAUUACAUUUUUUAAUAUAAAUAUUGGGAAAAGACUUCUAAUAUUAAGAUUUUAGUAGUUAAAAUAUUUCAGAUCAUCAUGUGGGAAACCAGUGUUUUGUGAGAAGAUGGCUUGAAAACCACUGGCAUAGAUUUUGAAGGCCUUAUUAUUUUGAUGCUUCUCUUCUACACACUUGCAUUAUUAAAGGGUUAAGACUUGAUCUGCUCUUUGAAUGAAGUAUUGGAUUUGGAUUAAGGUAAAGAAAUGGGACAUAGAAGCUGGGGAGAGAAUUAAGUGUAGGAGGAAGAUGUGCAGGCAGACCUUUACCAGAAUGCAGAGGAGAGUCAGCUGGAGCCUGGUGGGGGAGUGUGUGCUGUUUGGAGGCCAGAAUUGAUAGGCAAUAUGACUUUACUGUACUGUAUUAAAUUCCACAGUGCUAUGAAGAAUAUGAUAUUUGUUGGAGGAGACCUGAACUAAAAGGCUCGUAAAUCUCUUAACAAGAAUCUUGGAAUUUGAAGUGAUAAUUUCCACUUGGCAUGGGUGCUGCAAAGAUGCUUGCUGAGUGUAACAUACCAUUUAAUAAAAUUUAUCUAAAGUUUUGCUACCCCCACGACCCCCAUUUCCAAAAUGUUGAAUUUUGGGACCAUAAAGGAAGCUUAUUUUGUGUUUAACUUCUGUCAGCACUUGUUAAAAGUCACUUUACAAGCAGUUCUUUGAAAUACUGUUUAGAGAAUCAGCUAUUCUGAACUCUGAUGUGAACUAGAAAUGUGUCUGAUUUUAAACCCUUUUUCCUCUCAAAGCUGUCUUUUUGAUGAUAAUUUAAUAGGCUCUUUGAGGCAAAAGGUAGGUAGCAUAUGUCACUAAUACAUCUAAUGUAGAGUUAUUAUCAAAUAUUCUUGUUUCAAUAUUUCCUCCCCAUCCCCUCUAAAUCUCAUUUAAUAACAUCAAAUUGAGUUAUAGAAUAUUAGAACUGUAAGGGAUGAUCUUGGGUCACGUAGCUGCAGUCUCUGUUUUUUGGAAUUCUCUAAAGCAUUGGAGGAAAUACAAUUCAAAGUACUCUGUUUUUUCUAGCUAAUUCCUAGGGACUGGGCCAACCUCACAACCUAGCCAAAAUAGCAGCAUUCUGCUCUGUAUCGACUGCCAAUUUGUUUUUCUGACAUCAUGUGUAUAUGCAGCAAAACAAAAUUUCUUUAUCGGAUCCCUUUUUUUGUUAAUUUAGAUACUCAGUUUCAUAGAAGCUGUCCUUCCACAAAUGAACAGAUAUGGUAUAGGUAGAUUUUCCCGCCCUGACUUAGGUAAAUAUAUAGCAGUGAGAGUCUCCUAUCUUUACUAUGUGUUCAGCAGGUGAUGGUUAAUUGGAUGUGUCCACUUGGCUGGGCCACAGUACCCAGAUAUUUGCUCAACACUAGUCUAGAUGUUGCUGUGAAGUUAUUUUAUGAUGAAGUUAGCAUGUAAGCCAGUGGAUGUUUAGUAAAGCAGAUUAUCCUCCAUAAUGUGGUUGGAGACCUGAAGAGAAAGAAGACGGACUUCCUUGAGGAAGGAGGCAUUUUACCUGCGGUGUUUCUUCAGUCUUGAGCUGCAACACCAACCCUUCCCUGGGUCUCUUGUCUGCAGGCCUACACUGUCACAGACACAACCCUUAGAACUUGUGCUUGCUGGCCUCUGUGUUGCAUGCAUCAAUUCCCUAAAAUAAUUUCCUUCUCUCUUUUUCAAGGUCUCUCUGUCUCUGUCUACACACACGCACACACACGCACGCACACACACACAUACACACACACACACACCCUGUUGAUUCUAUUUCUCUGGAGAACCCUGACUAAUACAGUCAGGAUUAAUGAUCUACCUCUGGCCAAACUUCAUCUAUAACCCUGCAUGUUAGAGUUUAAAGUGAAAGCAAGAGAUUAGAGUCACAUUUUAUAGAUGAGUGAAUCAGUCUUCAUGAGAAAAGAAAAGAAAAAUGGAAAUUCAAAAACAAGGAGGCAUGAUUUUAUUAUUGUCCAAUAGCUAAUCCCUCAAAUAGAAGAUCUCACUGUAUCAGAGCUUAGUCACCUUUAGGAGCAGAUCCAGGUUUGUGUGUAUAGGUUGGGAAGCUUUCUUUCAGAGAAUAUGAAAGUAUUACUGCUAAAUUAGGUAUGGGAGUGAAUAUUUAUUUAGGUUGAGAACAGAAUCACAACUUCCAAGAGUUUAAAGGCUAACAGAAACUGUAAACAUAACAAAAUCCACAAAGAAAACAUACUUUUAAUUAAUUAAUUGCCUGAUAUACCAGCACCGUAUGUAGUUUUUUGGAGUAUGUUUUUAUUAUUACCACUUCAGAAAAGAAAGAAUUUAGUCUGUAGAUUUCAAACCCUGUUUCUUCUCCACUACCAGACUUCUGUGCCAGACACUGUUAGGUACAUUAAUGUGGAGAUAGGACCUUGACCUCUGCCUUCCUGGCACAAUGCGUGUGUGUGCAUAGUGUUUACUGGAAAGAUGCAUUUCUGAAACCUUUUCCUUUUGUGGAAUAACUUAACUAUAAAUCAGUGAGACUGAACACCGUGUAAAUAUAUCCCAUAAAAAUGCCCAAAAUGACUUCCUGACUUAACUUUUCCUUAUCAGAGUCUAAAAAUGCACAGCUACUCCUGUGCCACCGUAUACGAGGGGACAUGUGAUAGAGGGGAAUUCACAAUGGAAAGGGACACAUACCCUAAGAUAUGCUAAAAUAUUCUCGUUUUGUAAAUUUUAUCAAAACAAAAACAUGAUUAUGUGAACUGGGUAAACGAGAGGCCUCAAAGCAUAAGCCUUUGGCUACCAUAAUUAUGUGUAGAACAUUCUUCUCUUUUCCUGCUUCUAAAUAAUUUUUCAAAGAAUCACUUAUUAAUGUAAAUUUAUUAAUAUAUUUUCGUGCUACUGGGAUAAUGUGUGAAAUUUUCCAUAAUUAACUGUAAAUAUUUAUACUGUGAGUGUGGGAACUACACAUGAAUAGGAAAUGAAAUAUCUUUAAAUCAUAAAUUUGCAAUGAAUAUUUUAGAGCAGUAUAAUUGAAUCUUGCUUAUAAUUAUGGUAGACAUACAAUAAUGGCUGUGUUUUUCUUUGAAAUAGUUUUUUCUUUUUCACCCCUGGAAGGGCAGAGGAAAAGAACAAGAAAAAAGUGAAACAGGCUAGCUUUUAUCAGGAGAGGCUGACUUCAGAAAUAAAAUAUGUACUGGAGCCAUUCACAGCUAGAACUGAUUUCAAAAUGAAAUUACCAUUGGCUUUCAAAUGGAAAUUUCAGGGAGAAGAUGUUAAUAAAAAUGUAAUGGUUAUAAUGGCAACUGUAAUGAUGAUGAUGCUAUGUGUGUGUUGUUAGAAGAGUGAUUAUCAUAAUCUCUGACACUUUUUUUAGUCCAUAAAGAGGUAGAUUAAAAUUGGUACUUACAGAGAUCAUAAUUUAUUCACUUUUCCCUAGCUCAUUAAAAUGACUUUGCCAUUAUUUUGAAAUUCUCAUCGUAUGAUGGGGCCAUGCACAUAUGGCACAGACAAUCAGACUGACAGGAACUUUUAGGCAGUUCCAAUUCUGCUUUCAUUAUUCACAGGACUAAAGACUCUCUUUAUAAAAUCAGUUACUUGGCAUUUUCUCAUUGAUUCUGAAAGAGGUUUAUGUAUGAAUAUGCAUAGGAAUCUGUGGCUGGCUGGUAUAUUGGUGCUCCCCCCAGCCCCCAGGAAAAAAGACAACUAUGCCUCUCAGUACUAAUGCCCCUGUGUAGCCCCCUUCCAUAGAACUAUGGGCUUGACCAUGUAACUUGCUGUGGUCAAUGGACAUCAGCAAACGUGACCCAAGCAAGUUUGUUGAGGGCUUGCGCUUAAGUUGUGCAACUUAAGUGGUCCUUUUGAAAAACUUCACCUUGGAACCCAGAUAUCAUUCUACAGGGAAGUCUAGGCUAUAUUGCUACAGAGAGAUGACAUGGGGAAUGGCCCUGGAUGGGGAGACACAGCAAAGAGAGAAAGGCCACUUGGAAGAAAACCAAGGUCUCCCAGCCAGGUUUCCAGUUAACUCCAUGAAAGACCUCCCCUGACACUACACGGAAUAGAACCACCCAGUCAGUCCACAGAAAUGGGACAGAUAACACAUUAUUGUGGUUUUUAAGCUGGUAAGUUUUUGUUUGUAAAGCAGCAAUAGAUAAAGGAAAUGAUUAUAGAGAGAUUUUUUAAAACCAUUUCACUUGUAUAUGAAAGUCUGAAAAUGAUUUAAGUGAAAUUAGAGUCUUAUUAAGUUGAAUGCCCAUAAAAUGAUGUUUAUUCAGCCAUUUACAUGUACAGCCUUAUGAUUUUGAUAGCUAAUGUUUAUUAAUUACUUUCUGUAUCUGUAUAUUAGUCAUUAACAUUUUAUUUAUUAAAAUUAUUAAAUUUUACUAAUUUAUUAUAAUAAAUUAACUUAUUAUUAGUUAAAAAAAUCUACACAAUUGUAUGUAGGUGCUGUAUUUGUUCCCAUCCUGUAGAUGGGGAAAACAAGACUUAAAGACAGUAAAUAUAUUGCCUAAAGUUAUACAGGUACCUACAGUGUGUGGAAGAUAUAACAAAGAAUUAUAAAAUGCAGUCUGUAUGCAGUGGAAUGUACAGUUUUUAGAAAGGUCUAUAUCCAUGAAAUUAUUGUAAGAAGAGAUGACACUAUUAUAUUAAACAGUGUGGUGCUAGUUAAAAGUGUUUUGAAUCAGAAUGACACCAGUUUAUUUUAUUUUAUUUAUUUAUUUUUUCUGAGACAAAUAUCAUUCUUUUUUUUUUUGAGCUUCUCCACAUUUCACCAUUUAUUAUUUUCAAUUUACAUUUGUUAUAGCCAUCCUAAUUGGUAUAAAGUGGUAUCCAAUUCUGGCCUUGACUUGCAUUUUCCUAGUAGCUAAUGUUAAAGUCCUUCUCAUGUGCUUAUUGGAGAAUGACACCAGCUUAAUUUUUUUUUUCAACGUUUAUUUAUUUUCGGGACAGAGAGAGAGAGAGCAUCGGAAUCGGAAACAGGCUCCAGGCUCUGAGCCAUCAGCCCAGAGCCUGACGCGGGGCUCGAACUCACGGACCGCGAGAUCGUGACCUGGCUAAAGUCGGACGCUUAACCGACUGCGCCACCCAGGCGCCCCUGACACCAGUUUAAAUGGUGGCUCUGCUCCCAGCUUUGUGACGUUAAACAACUUAUUUAAACUCUCUGAGCCUCAGUUUUCUUAUCAAUCAGUUUAAAAAUGUCUGUUCCAUGGUUGUUGAGAGAGUAACCUGGGCCAAGGAGCCAGCUUAUAUCUAAUUCUGUGGAUUAUUCUCAUCUCCUCCCAAAUCCAUGUUCUGAGACAUAACAUGGGUGGUUUAAAAUCAGACAAUCAGGGAGUAUUAAUACUCCGAAAAUAUUAAAGCCCCAUCAGCCAAAAACUUCCAGCCUGGAGUCUGACAAAACCUGAUUUACCGACUCAACAGCAUAGGAGUGCAGUGUCACCCUGACAAAAGGGAGGAGCCGGUGUCGGUCAGUGCUGGGUUCCUCACAGAGGAUCCUGAGAAGUAUCUACAGGAAGAGGAAGAGCUGAUCCAUUCUGGAUUGGUUGCCGUUUCUGGGACAGGGUUAUGAGAGUAUACAUUUUGGAAGGAAAACAAGUUGUUUCCACAAUGGACAGAAAUUAAGGAGCUCUGCCAGGUUCUUACAGUAAAGACUGGAGACAUCCCAUUUUGAACCAUUUUGAAGCACAUUGCAUUCUUCUUUGCAAGGCCUGCCCUGUGACUUCAGUUUUCUGAUGGAUCUAAGAAGAGUUGUUGAUUUUCAGAAAAAAUAUUGACUGCAAGUAUAGAAAUCAAGAGUCUACUAGCAGAUGGGAAAACAGUGAAGUUUGGAAUAUGUUAAUUUCCUGCCAACUUUCAGGAAUCUGUUCCUGAAUUAUAACGGGCAUGAUGAAAGUGGAAUUGGUUUCCGUGUUAACAUUUGGUGUCCUGCAUGUAUCGUUCAAGAAGAAUAAAAAUAUUCAAGGUCACUUUAAGGAACAGGACAGAGCCAUCAUCACCAUCCAUCUCCAGAGCUUCUUCAUCUUCCCAAACUAGGACUCUUCAUCUAGGAUAAAUCUUCACUCCUCACUCUCCAAUCCCCUGGCAACCACCAGUCUACUUUCUGUCUCUAUGAAUCUGACUGCUCCUGGCACCUCAGGUGCUAUAAAAGACCUGAGGCUCAUGUCUGCAGAACAACAGGCAGUCUAUAAUCUACCCCACUAGCACCAGUGAAAAGGAGUAAGUAGGCCAUUGUGCCCUAUGUGAUUUUUUUCCCAUGUAAGUAAAGCCUGUUCCCACCUAUUUUUCUGAUUAAAAUCUUACGGAUAGACACAUCGGUAGGGAGACUAUUCCUGAGUGCUGCAUAGCUCUAGGGGGAAAAAAAGCCAAUAAGAGAGAUAAAGUUUAGGAUUUGAAAAGGAGAUAACUAUAAAUGUACAUUGGCGUUUAGGGAGAAGCAAAGUGAAACAUUUUUAGCAAAGGGUGUAGUAGAUGCUUGAAAAUAUGUUGCUACAAAAAACCUAAAUUGGACUCAACACUUCUUGAGACUUUGAUCUAAAUCAAAAGGUUUUUGGACAGCUUAUAGAUUUUUUUCUUCCCUGAAACUGUUGGAAGCCAUAAGAUUUGAAAAGGAAUUUCACACAGAUAUGAUUAUCACAGCAGCGAUAAACUGUUAUCUCUACAGAACAGAAGUAGGCAAGUCAAUGUUUUGUGGGACCAGGUUCCCCAGCCAUGGAGAUACCAGAGGCUGGUGUGGGAAACCCAAACUGAAAACAUGGGAUAUUACACAUGUUAAAAGAAUCCUGAUGAAGUUUAACCAGCAUAAACUUUGCCAAAUCAUUUAAAUGUAAAUAAGAUGCUUUUAUAUUGAAUGGCUUGGAAAAGGCAACUUUUGCUCUUUCUCCACAAAUUUUAUUCAGUUUUUAUUUUUAAAGUUUUAUUUAUUUAUUUGGGGGGAGGA